AAAUUGAAGAGUUUGAUCAUGGCUCAGAUUGAACGCUGGCGGCAGGCCUAACACAUGCAAGUCGAACGGUAACAGGAAACAGCUUGCUGUUUCGCUGACGAGUGGCGGACGGGUGAGUAAUGUCUGGGAAACUGCCCGAUGGAGGGGGAUAACUACUGGAAACGGUAGCUAAUGCCGCAUAACGUCGCAAGACCAAAGAGGGGGACCUUCGGGCCUCUUGCCAUCGGAUGUGCCCAGAUGGGAUUAGCUAGUAGGUGGGGUAACGGCUCACCUAGGCGACGAUCCCUAGCUGGUCUGAGAGGAUGACCAGCCACACUGGAACUGAGACACGGUCCAGACUC
rnacentral:rRNA from 1 species